AUUGAACGCUGGCGGCAUGCCUUACACAUGCAAGUCGAACGGUAACAGGUCUUCGGAUGCUGACGAGUGGCGAACGGGUGAGUAAUACAUCGGAACGUGCCCGGUCGUGGGGGAUAACGCAGCGAAAGCUGCGCUAAUACCGCAUACGAUCUGAGGAUGAAAGCGGGGGACCGUAAGGCCUCGCGCGAUCGGAGCGGCCGAUGUCAGAUUAGGUAGUUGGUGGGGUAAAGGCUCACCAAGCCGACGAUCUGUAGCUGGUCUGAGAGGACGACCAGCCACACUGGGACUGAGACACGGCCCAGACUCCUACGGGAGGCAGCAGUGGGGAAUUUUGGACAAUGGGCGCAAGCCUGAUCCAGCAAUGCCGCGUGCAGGAAGAAGGCCUUCGGGUUGUAAACUGCUUUUGUACGGAGCGAAAAGGUCUUCCCUAAUACGGGAGGCUGAUGACGGUACCGUAAGAAUAAGCACCGGCUAACUACGUG
rnacentral:rRNA from 1 species